CUACGGAGGGGGCUAGCGUUGUUCGGAAUUACUGGGCGUAAAGCGCACGUAUGCGGAUUAAAAAGUUAGAGGUGAAAUCCCAGGGCUUAACCCUGGAACUGCCUUUAAAACUAGUAGUCUAGAGUUCGAGAGAGGUGAGUGGAAUUCCAAGUGUAGAGGUGAAAUUCGUAGAUAUUUGGAGGAACACCAGUGGCGAAGGCGGCUCACUGGCUCGAUACUGACGCUGAGGUGCGAAAGCGUGGGGAGCAAACAGGAUUAGAAACCCCAGUAGUCC
rnacentral:rRNA from 1 species